CAUCUUUUAAUGCACACCUUUUUCACCAUGGAUGUAUGACCCACCACAAACAUGUUGGAGCUCAAUUCUUAACCUGGUGCAUUAUAAAAACAUAGUUGAGGGUUGUUUCUUACAGCUU